GUAAUAUGGCGAAGACCUACGAUUACCUGUUCAAGCUGCUGCUGAUCGGGGACUCGGGGGUGGGGAAGACCUGUGUCCUGUUCCGCUUCUCCGAGGACGCCUUCAACUCCACUUUUAUCUCCACCAUAGGAAUUGACUUUAAAAUUAGGACCAUAGAGCUUGAUGGCAAGAGAAUUAAACUGCAGAUAUGGGACACGGCCGGUCAGGAACGGUUUCGGACGAUCACAACGGCCUACUACAGGGGCGCAAUGGGCAUCAUGCUGGUCUACGACAUCACCAACGAGAAGUCCUUCGACAACAUCCGGAACUGGAUUCGCAACAUUGAGGAGCACGCCUCUGCAGACGUCGAAAAGAUGAUACUCGGGAACAAGUGUGAUGUGAAUGACAAGAGACAAGUUUCCAAGGAACGAGGAGAAAAGGUGGGCAUGGUGGCACAAGGGGCAGAGGGCCUCAGGGUCUUGGGGUUCUUGUGCGGAGGCCUUCCCCUGUCCCUCCUCUGCCCCAGGGACCUGGGACGAGCUGGUCACCCCAGUGGGGCACGUGCCUGUGAUGG
rnacentral:sRNA from 1 species